rnacentral:rRNA from 1 species
GGGGGGGGGGGGGGGGGGGCGGAGGGCGGGGGAGGCGGGCGGGCGGACGAGGGGCUUGCUCCGCUGACGUUGGCGGCGGACGGGUGAGUAACACGUGGAUAACCUACCUAUAAGACUGGGAUAACUUCGGGAAACCGGAGCUAAUACCGGAUAAUAUAUUGAACCGCAUGGUUCAAUAGUGAAAGACGGUUUUGCUGUCCCUUAUAGAUGGAUCCGCGCCGCAUUAGCUAGUUGGUAAGGUAACGGCUUACCAAGGCAACGAUGCGUAGCCGACCUGAGAGGGUGAUCGGCCACACUGGAACUGAGACACGGUCCAGACUCAUACGGGAGGCAGCAGUAGGGAAUCUUCCGCAAUGGGCGAAAGCCUGACGGAGCAACGCCGCGUGAGUGAUGAAGGUCUUCGGAUCGUAAAACUCUGUUAUUAGGGAAGAACAAAUGUGUAAGUAACUAUGCACGUCUUGACGGUACCUAAUCAGAAAGCCACGGCUAACUACGUG